UACGAAGGACCCGAGCGUUAUCCGGAUUCAUUGGGUUUAAAGGGUGCGUAGGCGGAAUGAUAAGUCAGUGGUGAAAUCCUGCAGCUUAACUGCAGAACUGCCAUUGAUACUGUUGUUCUUGAAUACAACUGAUGUGGGCGGAAUGUGCCAUGUAGUGGUGAAAUACUUAGAUAUGGCACAGAACACCGAUUGCGAAGGCAGCUCACAAAAUUGUUAUUGACGCUGAUGCACGAAAGCGUGGGGAU
rnacentral:rRNA from 1 species